rnacentral:lncRNA from 10 species
CGGAUCUCGCGAUGUUUCAGGGCGGCUUUGGUGUCAUCAAAUGUGAGAAGCCCUGGACUUUACACAUCCCGAGCCAGUGUGAUCCAGUAUGAUUGGGAGUCCGAGUGCCAGAUGCCGGUCAGGACCUGUUAUGCUGGGUCUCAGAAUGCGGAAACUCUCCCUGUCCGAGGUGGAACAGUUUGUCCUUGAGUGAGGACUGGAGUCCUGAGUGACUCUUUUGAUUUGAUCCUGUUUCCCUCAAACCUGAGAUGGGAGCCUCACUGUAUUGCCCAGGCUGGUCUUGAACUCCGGAGCUCAAGUGAUCGUCUUGCUUCAGCCUUGCAAAAUGAUGGUGAAGCUGCAUCAUUGUCUGGGGUAAAUACCUGAGGUUCGUUGUCUCACGCCAAGGGAAUCAAGGACGUGGACACACAAGAAGUGAGUUUAAGAGCGGAGGUUUAAUAGGCGAAAGAGAAAAGAGAAUAGCUCUAGCUCCUGCAGAGAGAAAAGGGCUCCCAAGUAGGACUUCCAGUCCGUGGCGA